CAGGCUUUACACUGACAGGCUGACGGAAGUGAGCCCACUGUGGGGCUCGACCUCAUGAGCCAUGAGAUCAUAACCUGAGCAGAAGUUGCAUGCUCAACAGACUGGGCCACUCACGUGCCCCCUUUACAUUUUAACUUCUUAACAGAGUGCCAUUUGCCUUCUAUAAAAUGGGGUGGGGAAUUAUUACCCAUGCAAAAUGCCCUAAACUGAACCCCAUUCUUGUCAUUUUCCUCGUUUCUAAUUCUUUCUUUACUGUUCUGAAUGAACUGAUGAAUUUGUCAGGUGAGAAGAGGAAGAGAAGAAUUCAUCUUGUUAGCCCCCAGAGGAUUCACAUUCAACUUCUUCACUCAGCCCUUCUGCCGCCCUGGCAGAGUGACAAGUACCGUGAACACCACGUUCGUUGCUUUCUCUCUCAUUUCACUCUCCUGCUAUUUCCCCAGUGGCAUUAAUCAUAAAAUGGGCACAAGUCGAAGUUCUCAGCUGACAUAGCAACAUCUGACAGAAUUUCCUUAAUAAUAGAAGGUGGAUGAAAUGUAUAUAAAACGUUGCUGUUCUGAAGGUGAUAUUUUAUCAUUAUAUGAUGUGCAUUUUCUUCUACCAGUGAUGGAUGUCCUCCUAAAUAAUAUUCUACCAGAGGCUAAUUAGAAGUUCUACCUCAUCUCCAUCUAAAGACACUUGUGUGGAAAAUGUUAUCUGAAGUCAUUAUACACGUGCAAAUUUUUAAUCUGCUUUUCCGCGUAAUGGUUGAUAGACUUACACAUUUUAAAGGGCUGCAUAAUUUUGAUUCUUUAGAUAUAUUUAUAUUGUUUGUGAGCCUGUCAAUUGUAUCUCUUUUAUAAAUGAGCUUCAGGAGGCACUGCUGCAGAAUUUCUUCCAACCAUUGUCAUUUGAUUCCUGGAUUUCCUAUGAAAUGUCAACACUACUGCUGAUUACUAAGAAAGUAGAAUAAAUAAGCAUCCAAAAUGGUAUUUUUGCAGUUCCUGAUUUCAAGUACUGAAUAACAAGGUUAAUUUAAAACAAUAAGAUGUUAUGUUGUAACAGAUAUGAGAUAUAAGUAAGAUGAUUCAUUUCAGCCUCUUCUUUUUAUGGAUGAAGAAACUGAGUUUAUGGCUGGCCCAAGGUUAACAGCUAAGAGGGAAGUCUCCUGCCCAUGUGCAACCAAAUCCUCUAUAAUAUCUUAAAGCAGAAAGCACUUAUUCACUACUUGCCAAAGGUUUUGGAUUUCGAAAAACGACCUGGAAAAGUGAACACUUUGCAAACUCGUAGGAUCUGAAAUGGGGUUGCCCCACUCUCCCACCAUUUCUGCAAUCAGGGUAUGCAAGACCAGUCAGUGGUCAAAAUUUUGAACUCCUUACAGACUUACAGAAAAUUUGCAAGAAUGGUACCAAGAGUUUCUAGAUGUCCCCAUCCUGGUAUACCCUGUUCUUAACAUAUUAUAUACUGUAAUAUAAUUAUCAUAACCAGGAAAUUAACAUUGGUAUGGUGCCAUGAACUAAAGGCGUCAUUUGAACUUCACUUUGAGACGUUCCACUCCUGUCCUUUUCUAUCGCUGCUGUUCCCAUGAUGCAAUUCAGAAUUCCAUAUUGCAUUUAGCUGUUCUUUCUCUCUGCCCUCCCGUAAUCUGCAACAGCUCCUCAGUCUUUCAUUCUCCUUUAUGAUCUUGACAGCUUCCAAAGAAUACUGAUUAGUUUAUUUCACCACAUGUCCCGCCAUUGAGGCCUGUCUGGAAUCUUAGGGUUGGAUUGAGGCCAUGCCUCCCCAUCAGAAGCACCACACAGAAGCAUCCUCAUCCUUCUCAGUACAUCAAAUCGCAGCAUUUAUGAUGUCCAUGUUGGUAUCAAUCUCCUGGUCAAGAUGGUCACCUCAGACUUUGCCACUAUAAAGUUACUAUCCCAAUGGCCACAAUGGAACAAUUUGAGCAAAAGGAUAGAUAAUGAUGGUAUUAGAUUGUAACCCAUAAAAUAAAAAUUAUGAGUUAAUGGUGAUAUAAAUAAGUAACUGAUAAAAUAGAUACAGUCAAGUCUUGUUAUUUGCUGUGGUUAAGUUCUAUGACGUCACUGUGUGAAUCUCAGCUAGCUCAUACUGAACCAUUGCUCCUAGGGGAAAUACAGGGUUAGGUUCCUGUAAGCCUUGGGUCAGAACCUCUUUAUCAGCUGCUCCAAACCUAACCUGGUUUUAUUUUUCUGUUUAAAGACUCUAUUUAAUUUCAUUUGUGGAGUCAUUCAUCAACAGUACCAUAACUCAUGCCUGAAGGAAGCUCAUUUAACUACACAUUUUCUCUGUAGGGCACAGAGUUAGGGACACCGGACAGCACAUCAGCACUCUGACUGGGGGACAUUUUAAACAAUGAAGCUACCAAAAAAAGCACAAAAAUGUGAAAAGUGUGGCAUUCGAUUGGUCAGAAAAAGGACACUUCUUUACAGUAGGAGAGCCAAAAGAAAGAGGUAGAAUGUUGCCUUGUUGGACCUCAGUGGGGAAUGUGUGUACUUCAUGAAUCUCAAAGUGUUCACUGCUCUGGACGUGCCCAUGAAGGACCAAGAGAGUGCCAUGAGUACUGAUUUUGAGGUUACAAAUAAAUUUCAGCCUGAAGGCGAAUUCUCAAAUUCCUAAUAAUGAGGAUGGACUGUAUAUGGAGGAGAACUGACCACUCUUCUUGGCAGUAGAACUCUAAAAAAAAUGAACAGACUGAAGGGCACAGCAAAUCGCCAGCCCCACAGGCACCCCCUUCAGUGACCAUUGCUGCAGAUGGACCACCAAGGGAUGCUACAACAGUGGGCAAAUCUUGGAAGAACAAAGGGAUUUGCAUAGUUUCAAGUAUCUGCCUGAAGACACUACAGGGGGAAAUACAGUAAAUUUAUAUUCACUUCAAAUUUAAUAUUGCAUUUCUUUAUUUUUCUUAUAUUACAUAGCAUUAGCAGAUGUUGACUACAAAUACAUAUACAUAGAUGGUACGUGCUCAAGUUCUUCUUUUUUUCUUUUUUGUUUUUUAUUAGACAGUGCAAGCAGGGGAGUGGCAGAGGGAGAGAGAGAGAGAGAAUGAAUCCCAAGCAGGCUCCACACUCAGCAUGGAGCCCAACGUGGGGCUUGAUCCCAUAGCCCUAAGAUCAUGACCUGAGCCGAAAUCAAGAGUCAGACACUCAGCCAUCUGAGCCACCCAGGCACCCCUCAAAUUCUUGAUGAUAAGGGGAUCUCCAAAUUUUUUAUUUUGUUUUCACAUCUGGAUCAUUAGCUAGUAUUUGGUCAAAGCUGUUAAUUUAUGUAAAACUGGAGAAGAGUCACAGAAGCUGCCCCUUCAAGGAGAGAUUUGGGACAUUUAAGGAUCACUGCCUGUGUGAGAUUAUCCCAGGUAGAGACAGAGAGCAUAAGCAGUGGAGGGGCAGAGAGAGAGGGAGACAGAGAAUCCGAAGCAGACUCCAGGCUCUGAGCUGUCAGCACAGAGCCCAACGCGGGGCUCCAACCCACAAACAGUGAGAUCAUGACCUGAGCCGAAGUUGGACGUUCAAUCGACUGAGCCACCCAGGCGCCCCUAAACCAGGAGCCUUUUUAAUAUAGAGUCCUCAUUUGGGGGAAGUUGGUGAUAUCAGAGGAGGACAUCACUUUGGAAAAUGAG